rnacentral:rRNA from 1 species
UACGGGGGGGGCAAGCGUUGUUCGGAAUUACUGGGCGUAAAGGGCUCGUAGGCGGCCAACUAAGUCAGACGUGAAAUCCCUCGGCUUAACCGGGGAACUGCAUCUGAUACUGGAUGGCUUGAGUUCGGGAGAGGGAUGCGGAAUUCCAGGCGUAGCGGUGAAAUGCGUAGAUAUCUGGAGGAACACCGGUGGCGAAGGCGGCAUCCUGGACCGACACUGACGCUGAGGAGCGAAAGCCAGGGGAGCAAACGGG